UCAUUAUUAGCUAGCAUACAAAAUGAUGGCUUUCACUUUAACAUUUUCACAGAUAUGUGUCAUUGUAUCUUACUAAUAUUUGGACCCUAAGAGUUCCAUUGUGCCCUUCCUUUCUCCUGCUGUUCCUCUUCCCCCAAAACAUUUAUAUCAUACAUGGUGUAGAUCCCAUGUAGGAGAGAAAACAUGAACUAUCUGUCUUCUUGAGUCUAGCCUGUUUCUCUCAACAUCAUGACCUCACCCCUUUUAAGAGUAAUGAAAAAGGCAGGUAGGUUGCAAAUGAAACUCUUAUGCUACGUGUGUCUAUGUGCACUUUGGUGCUUGGGCAGGUGGCAUGAAUUCUGUUCUCAGGGUUUGUUGACUGAAUCAAUGCAGGGCCGGAAGCUGUGGCAGCGCCAACAAACGGCUGUCUUUACAGAUUAACACUCUGUUGACUUACAGCCUUGUGCGAUGACUCCAAAUAAAGGACCAUGAGAGGGUCCUUCAGCUCAAGGCUCCUCUUGGAAACUAGAUACAGGAGCCACUAGUAUGCCAGCGACAAGAAAUAUGAUGAAUUGUUGACAGCCCUUUUGGGGAAGGUACCUCCCAUUUGCUGCUCUGAAAAGGCACUGGGAAGAGACACCAGCAUUUCCUCCUCAUGAGGGUUGGCACUGUGCAGGCCAUGUGCUAAUGCAGUCAAACAAUCUCCCUUGAAGGGCACCACGUUGAUGGGGUGCUGUGCCAGCUGGGGAAACAGUGCUGCCUUUGAGAGGCACAAAGAGCCACUGUCCUUGCCCCUCUCUCAUCUCCAAAAACUGUUCGAGUCCAAGAACUUCUUGGUGGUGAUAACGAAGGCUCCUGGAAGAGUAUGCAGAAGGUUCUGGUCCUGUCACCUGUAGAAUUGUAGCCGAAACCAACCAACCGAGCAGGGCCCGUAAGAGCAGGGCCUCCCAGCCUCAGGUUUUUGUUUUUUUUGUUUUUUUGUUUUUUUUUUCUUUUUUCCUGGACUGUAAUCUGAAAGAAACAUAAGCUCCGUCAAAAACAGAAUGUCCUUUUCUCCCAGCAUCUGUGUGUUCUGAACUGCUCUGUCCUCAUCCACAGAGUGAGUCAGAGUCAACGACCACCUAUAUAUGAAUUCUACACUGCGAGGGAGAAGAGGUUGGAAUGGCUGACCACCAAGAACCUUUCCAGGAUGUGCCGUUAGGAAGCCAUGUAAUUCAUCUAGUCUGUGCUCACUGUGGCCUCAGACCUAAACAGUGUGUAUGUGCACAGCGCUGCCUUGGGUUCAAGUACAGAGUACAUGCGUAUUAGGAGCGAAGGCUAAACGUACAGAAUUGCUGUUAAGAACAUCGACUUACCAAACCUCCAUUGGGUACUUCCUGGGUUCAGCACCGGAAGACGAGGGAUAAAACUCUCACUGCUCUCAGAGAGAAAGAGGCUCAUUUGGCUCAUUGAUUGAAGAAAUACGGUGUGGGAAUCGUGGUAGCAGGUUCAAUGGGCAGCUGGUUCACGUAUGGCAGCUCGCUCAGUGUUCGACUGUUGAUUCCGUCUCAGCAGCCCAGGAAGCAGAGGAGGAGAAAGGCCAUUCUCUGUAUUUAGUCUGGUACUGUUUGGGGUUUGUGCCAUCCACGCUCUGCGUGGGUCUUCCCUCUUUCCUUAACCCUCCUGAAUACCUUCACACGAGCUAGAGGUGUCUCCUAGGUGAUUCUGAACCCAUAGAGGCUGACGGUGAAGAUGAAUCAUCAGAAUCCCACCCCCCAUCACUUUAAAACUCUAAUAUUCCCUCCCCCAACCCCCAAGGGCUCGUAGCCAUCUCGUGAUGUAAGAAGCAUCUAGUUCGCUGGAAGAAUCCCGAGCCUUAACAGUUUCAAUGACGUCCAAAAGCUCAGAAUCUCCUCUAAGACUCAAGGCAAUCUUGACUACGAGCAACUGUAAAUAAAAAUUAAACCAUAUACUUCUAAUACGCAA